rnacentral:rRNA from 1 species
UGCAAGUCGAACGGUAACAGGAAGCAAGCUUGCUGCUUCGCUGACGAGUGGCGGACGGGUGAGUAAUGUCUGGGAAACUGCCUGAUGGAGGGGGAUAACUACUGGAAACGGUAGCUAAUACCGCAUAACGUCGCAAGACCAAAGAGGGGGACCUUCGGGCCUCUUGCCAUCGGAUGUGCCCAGAUGGGAUUAGCUUGUUGGUGGGGUAACGGCUCACCAAGGCGACGAUCCCUAGCUGGUCUGAGAGGAUGACCAGCCACACUGGAACUGAGACACGGUCCAGACUCCUACGGGAGGCAGCAGUGGGGAAUAUUGCACAAUGGGCGCAAGCCUGAUGCAGCCAUGCCGCGUGUAUGAAGAAGGCCUUCGGGUUGUAAAGUACUUUCAGCGGGGAGGAAGGGAGUAAAGUUAAUACCUUUGCUCAUUGACGUUACCCGCAGAAGAAGCACCGGCUAACUCCGUGCCAGCAGCCGCGGUAAUACGGAGGGUGCAAGCGUUAAUCGGAAUUACUGGGCGUAAAGCGCACGCAGGCGGUUUGUUAAGUCAGAUGUGAAAUCCCCGGGCUCAACCUGGGAACUGCAUCUGAUACUGGCAAGCUUGAGUCUCGUAGAGGGGGGUAGAAUUCCAGGUGUAGCGGUGAAAUGCGUAGAGAUCUGGAGGAAUACCGGUGGCGAAGGCGGCCCCCUGGACGAAGACUGACGCUCAGGUGCGAAAGCGUGGGGAGCAAACAGGAUUAGAUACCCUGGUAGUCCACGCCGUAAACGAUGUCGACUUGGAGGUUGUGCCCUUGAGGCGUGGCUUCCGGAGCUAACGCGUUAAGUCGACCGCCUGGGGAGUACGGCCGCAAGGUUAAAACUCAAAUGAAUUGACGGGGGCCCGCACAAGCGGUGGAGCAUGUGGUUUAAUUCGAUGCAACGCGAAGAACCUUACCUGGUCUUGACAUCCACGGAAGUUUUCAGAGAUGAGAAUGUGCCUUCGGGAACCGUGAGACAGGUGCUGCAUGGCUGUCGUCAGCUCGUGUUGUGAAAUGUUGGGUUAAGUCCCGCAACGAGCGCAACCCUUAUCCUUUGUUGCCAGCGGUCCGGCCGGGAACUCAAAGGAGACUGCCAGUGAUAAACUGGAGGAAGGUGGGGAUGAUGUCAAGUCAUCAUGGCCCUUACGACCAGGGCUACACACGUGCUACAAUGGCGCAUACAAAGAGAAGCGACCUCGCGAGAGCAAGCGGACCUCAUAAAGUGCGUCGUAGUCCGGAUUGGAGUCUGCAACUCGACUCCAUGAAGUCGGAAUCGCUAGUAAUCGUGGAUCAGAAUGCCACGGUGAAUACGUUCCCGGGCCUUGUACACACCGCCCGUCACACCAUGGGAGUGGGUUGCAAAAGAAGUAGGUAGCUUAACCUUCGGGAGGGCGC